GAGUUUGAUUAUGGCUCAGAACGAACGCUGGCGGCGCGUCUUAAGCAUGCAAGUCGAACGGCAAGAGAGGAGCUUGCUUCUCUCCUAGAGUGGCGGACUGGUGAGGAACACGUGGGUAAUCUACCCUUAAGAUGGGGAUAGCUGCUAGAAAUAGCAGGUAAUACCGAAUACACUCAAGGCUUCACAAGAAGUUUUGAGGAAAGGAAGCUACGGCUUCGCUUGAGGAUGAGCUUGCGUCCCAUUAGCUUGUUGGUGAGGUAACGGCCCACCAAGGCGACGAUGGGUAUCCGGCCUGAGAGGGUGAACGGACACAUUGGGACUGAGAUACGGCCCAAACUCCUACGGGAGGCAGCAGCUAAGAAUAUUCCGCAAUGGACGGAAGUCUGACGGAGCGACGCCGCGUGGAUGAAGAAGGCUGAAAAGUUGUAAAAUCCUUUUGUUGAUGAAGAAUAAGGGUGAGAGGGAAUGCUCAUCUGAUGACGUAAUCGACGAAUAG
rnacentral:rRNA from 1 species